rnacentral:tRNA from 1 species
CCCUGGUGGCUCAGACGGUAAAGCGUCUGCCUGCAGUGCAGGAGACCCGGGUUCGAUUCCUGGAUCAGGAA